rnacentral:rRNA from 1 species
ACACGACUACAUUAGAUACCCGGGUAGUCCUAGCCAUAAACGAUACUCGCUAGGUGUCGGCCACGGUGCGACCGUUGUCGGUGCCGUAGGGAAGCCGUGAAGCGAGCCACCUGGGAAGUACGGCCGCAAGGCUGAAACUUAAAGGAAUUGGCGGGGGAGCACCACAACGGGUGGAGCUUGCGGUUUAAUUGGAUUCAACGCCGGAAAUCUUACCGGGACCGACAGCAACAUGAAGGCCAGGCUGAAGACUUUGCCGGAUUAGCUG